rnacentral:sRNA from 1 species
ACAAGCGGAGAGGACGUUU